rnacentral:rRNA from 1 species
UACGGAGGGUGCAAGCGUUACUCGGAAUCACUGGGCGUAAAGCGCGCGCAGGCGGUCUUUUAAGUUGGAUGUGAAAGCCUACGGCUCAACCGUAGAACUGCAUCCAAAACUAUUAGACUAGAGUGUGGGAGAGGAAGAUGGAAUUAGUUGUGUAGGGGUAAAAUCCGUAGAGAUAACUAGGAAUACCAAAAGCGAAGGCAAUCUUCUGGAACACUACUGACGCUGAGGCGCGAAAGCGUGGGGAGCAAACAGGAUUAGAUACCCUGGUAGUCCACGCAGUAAACGAUGAAUGUUAGUCGUCGGGGGCCUAGUGUCUUCGGUGAUGCAGCUAACGCAUUAAACAUUCCGCCUGGGGAGUACGGUCGCAAGAUUAAAACUCAAAGGAAUAGACGGGGACCCGCACAAGUGGUGGAGCAUGUGGUUUAAUUCGAAGAUACGCGAAGAACCUUACCUAGCCUUGACAUAUAUUAGAAUCACCCAGAGAUGGGAGAGUGCCUUCGGGAGCUUUUAUACAGGUGCUGCACGGCUGUCGUCAGCUCGUGUCGUGAGAUGUUGGGUUAAGUCCCGCAACGAGCGCAACCCUCGUCACUAGUUACUAACGGUUCGGCCGAGGACUCUAGUGAGACUGCCUUCGCAAGGAGGAGGAAGGUGAGGACGACGUCAAGUCAUCAUGGCCCUUACGGCUAGGGCAACACACGUGCUACAAUGGCCAGGACAGUGAGACGCGAUACCGCGAGGUGGAGCAAAUCUAUAAACCUGGUCUCAGUUCGGAUUGUAGUCUGCAACUCGACUACAUGAAGCUGGAAUCACUAGUAAUCGAGA